rnacentral:tRNA from 1 species
AGCUCAGUUGGUUAGAGCGUCAGAUUGUGGCUCUGAAGGUCGGGGGUUCGAAUCCCCUCU